AUGACCUCAAAGAACGCUGAAGCAAAGAUCAGAUCGUUCCCAGCCUACUCCGCCUGGUUGAUCCAGGAUCAGCAGCUUGUAGCCUAUCUGCUUCGCAAUCUCUCGAAAGAAGUUCUGGUGCAAGUCGCCUCCCUAGAAAAAUCGCACGCCAUCUGGACUGCCCUCACAAACAUGUUUGUUUCCCCAUCUAGGUCGCAUGCGAACAACUGCCGUGCCGCCCUCUGCAAUGCCCAAAAGGGUUCUCAAUCUGCUGCUGCUUACUUUGGUCAGAUGCGUGCACUCGCAAAUGAACUAGCCAUGGCUAGAAAGCCUCUUCUUGAGGGAGAGCUGAUCUCCUUCCUCAUUGCUGGCCUUGAUAUGGACUACCAACCCCUCAUAUCUUCUCUUGAUGUUCCAACUGAGCCCCUCUCCGUCGACGAUCUGUUCGGCAUGGUGUCGAACUUCGAUCAAAGAGUGGAGAUGUUCCAUGGCUCUGGAUCGGGCGCCUUCAAGUCAUCCGCAAACGCUGCCGCUCGAGGACGUGGUGGCCUCCCAAGGGUAACCGCGGGUUCCCUAAGGGUGGUGGCAACAACGGCAGCAGCAGCGGCGACUUCAACAAUGGCGGCAACAACGGCGGCUACCACGGCAGCGGUGGCGGCCAUGGAAACAGCGGUGGCAGUGGCAACCGUGGCGGCGGUGGCGGCAACUACAACAACGACAACAACAAUCAUGGUGGCGGCGGCUACUACAACAACAACGGCCAGCCGCGCCCCUACUACAACAACAACCAAGGUCGUCACUUUGCUGGGUAUGAGGAAUAUGAGAACAAAUGUCAGAUUUGCAAAAAAAAAACUAACCACAUCGCAAAAGAGUGCAAAUGUCACUUUGCCUGCAAGGAGCAAAUCAACACGGCAGAAAAUGCUGCAGGUAUGA
rnacentral:rRNA from 1 species